CGGUGGAGCAUGUGGUUAAUUCGAAGCAACGCGAAGAACCUUACCAGGCCUUGACAUGCAGAGAACUUUACCAGAGAUGGAUUGGUGCCUUCGGGAACUCUGACACAGGUGCUGCAUGGCUGUCGUCAGCUUGUGUCGUGAGAUGUUGGGUUAAGUCCCGUAACGAGCGCAACCCUUGUCCUUAGUUACCAGCACGUUAUGGUGGGCACUCUAAGGAGACUGCCGGUGACAAACCGGAGGAAGGUGGGGAUGACGUCAAGUCAUCAUGGCCCUUACGGCCUGGGCUACACACGUGCUACAAUGGUCGGUACAAAGGGUUGCCAAGCCGCGAGGUGGAGCUAGUCCCAUAAAACCGAUCGUAGUCCGGAUCGCAGUCUGCAACUCGACUGCGUGAAGUCGGAAUCGCUAGUAAUCGUGAAUCAGAAUGUCACGGUGAAUACGUUCCCGGGCCUU
rnacentral:rRNA from 1 species